GUUAUUGCAUACUAGAACUGUUAGAACCAACCAACUUUCUGCUUGGCUUGACUUAGAGCUUUCUGAUCAUAUCUCAUCUGUUUGCAUCACACCGGAUUAGAUUGACAUCCUAAAAUACUACAACGACAAGAUAGUGUUUUAGGAUUAAUUGAGUAAAAUCCUACUAUCAUUACUC
rnacentral:sRNA from 1 species